rnacentral:rRNA from 1 species
AGUGAACGCUGGCGGUAGGCCUAACACAUGCAAGUCGAACGGCAGCACAGUAAGAGCUUGCUCUUACGGGUGGCGAGUGGCGGACGGGUGAGGAAUACAUCGGAAUCUACUUUUUCGUGGGGGAUAACGUAGGGAAACUUACGCUAAUACCGCAUACGUCCUACGGGUGAAAGCAGGGGAUCUUCGGACCUUGCGCGAUUGAAUGAGCCGAUGUCGGAUUAGCUAGUUGGCGGGGUAAAGGCCCACCAAGGCGACGAUGCGUAGCUGGUCUGAGAGGAUGAUCAGCCACACUGGAACUGAGACACGGUCCAGACUCCUACGGGAGGCAGCAGUAGGGAAUAUUGGACAAUGGGCGCAAGCCUGAUCCAGCCAUACCGCGUGAGUGAAGAAGGCCUUCGGGUUGUAAAGCCCUUUUGUUGGGAAAGAAAAGCAGCAGAUUAAUACCCCGCUGUUCUGACGGUACCCAAAGAAUAAGCACCGGCUAACUUCGUG